UUUGAAUAAUGUACGCUAUCGAAGAAGCGAAGAGGAGUGCGGCCAGGCUCGCCUUGGAUUGCGCUGACUUCAAGCGCUCGAAAUUGGGUACGUCGUUAUUCAAGACGGAUCGAGUGGCGCGUAACUUUCUUCUGAAAAUUUGCGAGUGAAGGGACGAUUUCGUGGUUUUGGGAGUUGGAGGAGAGAGCAGGACUCUGUCGCCAUAGAAAUUGGAAGAAAGCAAUGGAUUUGUAGUCGCAGACAUGGUUGUCGCGCUUGGGUUUUUGUUCAGCGUCGCCCGGUUUGCUUACUUAUCCGCUCGAGAGGGAGAAGGAGAUGAGGAAAGGGUGCGAAAUUCAAGAAUGAAGCGUGGAGGAGGAGGAGGAGGAUGAUGAUGAUGAUGAUGAUGAAGCUCAUCAAGACGAGCGAUGAAUCACAAAGUGGAUCCCAAACCCUUGCACUGGUAACCAAAACUAAUUGAUAACCCAUGGAGAAAAGCUGGUAAGCCACACAGGUAAAUGUUGGUAAAUUCAUAUGAGAGUUAAUAAAUUUAUGGAGCUUGUAGGAGAGAAAAAUAAAUUUUGGCAAACCAAAAUAAAAGUUGAUAAACUUUAAAAAAAAAAAUCAAAUAAAUAUUGGGACAUCAUUCAAAUGAGAGUUGAUAACUUAAACCUAUAUGUGAAUUACAUCAAAGAAAAGUUGGUAAGUCACCCAAAUAAAAAUUGAGCAACUCUUUAAGGCUUUAACAUGGGG
rnacentral:lncRNA from 1 species